GGAAUUGACGGGGCCCCGCACAAGCAGCGGAGCAUUCGGCUUAAUUCGACGCAACGCGAAGAACCUUACCAAGGCUUGACAUAACAGGAAUAUGGCAGAAAUGUCAUAGCCGCAAGGUCUGUAUACAGGUGGUGCAUGGUUGUCGUCAGCUCGUGUCGUGAGAUGUUGGGUUAACUCCCGCAACGAGCGCAACCCUUGUCCUUAGUUGCCAUCAUUAAGUUGGGCACUCUGAGGAGACCGCCGGUGUUAAACCGGAGGAAGGCGGGGAUGACGUCAAGUCCUCAUGGCCCUUACGUCCAGGGCUACACACGUACUACAAUGGCAGAAACAAUGCGUCGCGAAGCCGCGAGGUGGAGCUAAUCGCAAAAACACUGUCUCAGUCCGGAUUGAAGUCUGCAACUCGACUUCAUGAAGCUGGAAUCGCUAGUAAUCGGAGAUCAGCACGCUCCGGUGAAUACGUUCCCGGGCCUUGUACACACCGCCCGUCACGUCACGAAGUCGGUAACACCCGAAGUCAGUGCCCAACCGUAAGGAGGGAG
rnacentral:rRNA from 1 species